GUGUCAGCAGCCGCGGUAAUACGUAGGGGGCAAGCGUUGUCCGGAUUUACUGGGCGUAAAGAGCGUGUAGGCGGCCAAACAGGUCCGUUGUGAAAACUGGAGGCUUAACCUCCAGACGUCGACGGAAACCGUGUGGCUAGAGUCCGGAAGAGGAGAGUGGAAUUCCUGGUGUAGCGGUGAAAUGCGCAGAUAUCAGGAAGAACACCAAUGGCGAAGGCAGCUCUCUGGGACGGUACUGACGCUGAGACGCGAAAGCGUGGGGAGCGAACAGGAUUAGAAACCCCUGUAGUCC
rnacentral:rRNA from 1 species